ACUGAGGUUGGCAUGAGUACAAGGAAGCUAUCAUCUCAAA
rfam:Vicugna pacos cont1.179264, whole genome shotgun sequence.